CCUACGGGUGGCAGCAGUAGGGAAUUUUUCACAAUGGGCGAAAGCCUGAUGGAGCAACGCCGCGUGCAGGAUGAAGGCCUUCGGGUUGUAAACUGCUUUUAUAAGCGAGAAAUAUGAUGGUAACUUAUGAAUAAGGAUCGGCUAACUACGUGCCAGCAGCCGCGGGCAUACGUAGGAUCCGAGCAUUAUCCGGAGUGACUGGGUGUAAAGAGUUGCGUAGGUGGCAUAAUAAGUAGCUAGUGAAAUCUGGUGGCUCAACCAUUCAGACUAUUAGCUAAACUGUUAAGCUCGAGACCGUUAGGGGUAACUGGAAUGUCUAGUGUAGGAGUGAAAUCCGUAGAUAUUAGAAGGAACACCAAUAGCGUAGGCAGGUUGCUGGGACGGUUCUGACACUAAGGCACGAAAGCGUAGGGAGCAAACGGGAUUAGAUACCCCAGUAGUC
rnacentral:rRNA from 1 species